rnacentral:rRNA from 1 species
UACGAAGGGGGCUAGCGUUGUUCGGAAUUACUGGGCGUAAAGCGCACGUAGGCGGAAUGUUAAGUCAGGGGUGAAAUCCCGGGGCUCAACCCCCGGAACUGCCUUUGAUACUGGCAUUCUCGAGUCCGGAAGAGGUGAGUGGAAUUCCGAGUGUAGAGGUGAAAAUUCGUAGAUAUUCGGAGGAACACCAGUGGCGAAGGCGGCUCACUGGUCCGGUACUGACGCUGAGGUGCGAAAGCGUGGGGAGCAAACAGG